GAAAAUUCAAGAUAAAUAAUAAUAAUUAUUACGAGCUUACGAAAAAUAUUUUGACUGAUAAUAAAGUAUCUGAGAUAAUUGUUAAGUGUUAAGUCAGAGUUUAAUUGAACUUAGAUUCGAUAAAAGUCCGACUAGACCGUCGGGACGUUAGAACUUUGUCUAACUCAAGUCAGACUGAAAUAGUUUGACCUGAUACUGAGUCUUCUGUGUGUUAUAGACUGAUAGGGUUAUGUGUUAUGUGUAAUGUGUUUAGGUUAUUAUAUAAAUUGUGAUUAUAUUAUUCUAACUUAGCAAUCGAUAUUAUUUAUAUAUUAGGUUCGGAUAAAGCGUUAUAAAUUGCGUAGCGAUAAUCAACGGUUUAGGCAAGUUUGUUUUUAUUUAACUCUAUUAAGAGUUAUUUUAUUCAGAUAAGCUUAUGGUUAAUCAUUGCUGGUUGCCAUGAAUUGUACUCUGUACAUAUUGCAUGUAUAAGUCAGGUAUGAAAGACUGAUCACCUUCAUUACCAGUUGGUUCAGAUAUAUUUGUUCAUGUAUAAUACUUGUUCAGUCAUAAAUUUGUUCCUGCUAGUUCACAAUUAUAUUGUUGAAUUAUAGCCAACCAAUUAUUCAAAUCAUUUCAAUCAUGAUAUAUCGUUAUAUUGUUGAACUUAAACUUGCUGGGCAACUUUUAUGCUCUCCCUUGCUAUAUCAUGAUAAAACAUUGCAGAUUAAGACGAACGCGUCGGAUACAAGAAAAGGUUAAAGACAGUUCCAGCGUAAAGUUAUUGUGUGCGAUUAGAUUUGUAAUAGUUGUAUAAUAAUAAUGUUAUGUGUUAGAAAAGUUAUGAUUUGUGUAUAAGUUAAGAUUACUCGACCUUGGGGAAAAGUGUGUAAGUUCAAUGUAUAAACAAUUUAUAUUUAUAUCUUUCGCAAAUAGUAAUAGUUGUAUAGAAUGAUCGAACCGGAUCCGCGGUGAUUCGAGACCUCGGAUUCGGGGCCCUCACAGUUGGUAUCAAAGCUGUAGGUUAUGAACCUUAGGUAGGAAUGCCUGAGACUAAUAACCACAGUGAUUAGGAUAAGUACUAACUCAAAUACAGUUAGUUGGUCGGUAAGAUUCAAAGAUGAAUCUCGGCGAGUUAUAAGAUAUAGAGUUCCCUAACUCUGAUAAUAAAGUUGAACAGUAGUGAGAAAUAGAUAGAGUCUAAAACACUAAAAGUACAGUGAUAGGAGAUCGUAAAAUAAAACGAUCAAGACAUAGAAAUGAAUUGUAAUAUAUACGAUGAGAUCACUUUGUGAUCGGAUAAGGUUAUAGUAUGAAGAAAAAUCAAGCGAAUGAUUGAAAAAUUUACAGCAACGAUUGCUGUGUCAGUUGUAAUAUGAAUUGGUACAAAUUCAAAAAAGGAUUAUGAAUACGAGUUAAAUGAAAUUCGUAUUUGAAGGGAGUUAGUGUUAGGUGGGGAUUCAAUUGAGGAUUCAUGUCGGCAGCUAAGUUGUAUGAUUCUUCGUAUGGGAGCUGAAUUGUACAUGGUGUAAAAACCACUUAGUUUCUGGCAAUGAUAAUCAUUGAAAUGUUUGGGUCGCGCUAUUUGCUAUAUGCGUGUUAAGAGGGUGAUUCAUUUCUCAUGUGUAUAACAGAUAGAUAGGUCAUAGGUAGAGGAUAUAAAGUUAAGUACGAGUUCUUAAAACUCAUACUUAUGUGACAUACUUGAUUCAUAGUUAUAUGAAAUGUUUAUGAACCCCUCAGCGAACGAACGCCAAAGGUCAGACUCGGAUAAGUUCUUAAACUCAUAUGAUUGUGGCAAUUUAUGGACUCAUAAGUGUGGUUUGACGAACUAGGUAGAAUUGUGUGUAAUUGGAGUAUUAAGGAUAAUAAGAAUAGAUAGAUUGUUUAAGUAAAUGAUUAUUAGUGAAGAAUUAAGUUUUCCAAAACUCCUAACUAUGCUAGACUUUGAAAUUUUGACAUCAAGCUAAAUACGCACUAUGUGCUUUUAAAAAAAAAAAAAUAUGUAGACUCGUAAUCAUUUUUGAAACGGUUUAAAGUAUAGUCUAUGCUACUUAUUUCAGCUAGACGCAAACGAUUUGAAAUAUCAAAAUAAAUUUUAUUUAUCACUCAUGUACCAUGUAACCUGGUGCAGAGAUGAUAAAAAGUUGAUGGAAUUGUAAAUACAGGAAUACUUAGUGUGAAUUUGAUCUAAAAUCGUUAUUCCACUAUUGUAUGAUGUGUUAUGACAAAG
rnacentral:lncRNA from 1 species